GACCAGGUGGCUCAGUUGGUUAGAGCAUCGUUCUGUACAACAAAACGGUGUGGCUUCAAUUCCUGGUCA
rfam:Myotis brandtii contig250918, whole genome shotgun sequence.